ACGAACGCUGGCGGCGUGCCUAAUACAUGCAAGUAGAACGCUGAAGAGAGGAGCUUGCUCUUCUUGGAUGAGUUGCGAACGGGUGAGUAACGCGUAGGUAACCUGCCUUGUAGCGGGGGAUAACUAUUGGAAACGAUAGCUAAUACCGCAUAACAAUGGAUGACACAUGUCAUUUAUUUGAAAGGGGCAAUUGUUCCACUACAAGAUGGACCUGCGUUGUAUUAGCUAGUAGGUGAGGUAAUGGCUCACCUAGGCGACGAUACAUAGCCGACCUGAGAGGGUGAUCGGCCACACUGGGACUGAGACACGGCCCAGACUCCUACGGGAGGCAGCAGUAGGGAAUCUUCGGCAAUGGGGGCAACCCUGACCGAGCAACGCCGCGUGAGUGAAGAAGGUUUUCGGAUCGUAAAGCUCUGUUGUAAGUCAAGAACGGGUGUGAGAGUGGAAAGUUCACACUGUGACGGUAGCUUACCAGAAAGGGACGGCUAACUACGUGCCAGCAGCCGCGGUAAUACGUAGGUCCCGAGCGUUGUCCGGAUUUAUUGGGCGUAAAGCGAGCGCAGGCGGUUUGAUAAGUCUGAAGUUAAAGGCUGUGGCUCAACCAUAGUUCGCUUUGGAAACUGUCAAACUUGAGUGCAGAAGGGGAGAGUGGAAUUCCAUGUGUAGCGGUGAAAUGCGUAGAUAUAUGGAGGAACACCGGUGGCGAAAGCGGCUCUCUGGUCUGUAACUGACGCUGAGGCUCGAAAGCGUGGGGAGCGAACAGGAUUAGAUACCCUGGUAGUCCACGCCGUAAACGAUGAGUGCUAGGUGUUGGAUCCUUUCCGGGAUUCAGUGCCGCAGCUAACGCAUUAAGCACUCCGCCUGGGGAGUACGACCGCAAGGUUGAAACUCAAAGGAAUUGACGGGGGCCCGCACAAGCGGUGGAGCAUGUGGUUUAAUUCGAAGCAACGCGAAGAACCUUACCAGGUCUUGACAUCCCGAUGCUAUUUCUAGAGAUAGAAAGUUACUUCGGUACAUCGGUGACAGGUGGUGCAUGGUUGUCGUCAGCUCGUGUCGUGAGAUGUUGGGUUAAGUCCCGCAACGAGCGCAACCCCUAUUGUUAGUUGCCAUCAUUCAGUUGGGCACUCUAGCGAGACUGCCGGUAAUAAACCGGAGGAAGGUGGGGAUGACGUCAAAUCAUCAUGCCCCUUAUGACCUGGGCUACACACGUGCUACAAUGGUUGGUACAACGAGUUGCGAGUCGGUGACGGCGAGCUAAUCUCUUAAAGCCAAUCUCAGUUCGGAUUGUAGGCUGCAACUCGCCUACAUGAAGUCGGAAUCGCUAGUAAUCGCGGAUCAGCACGCCGCGGUGAAUACGUUCCCGGGCCUUGUACACACCGCCCGUCACACCAUGAGAGCCGGGGGGACCCGAAGUCGGUAGUCUAACCGCAAGGAGGACGCCGCCGAAGGUAAAACUGGUGAUUGGGGUG
rnacentral:rRNA from 1 species